CUCACUUGCCGUCCUCCCUCUCUUUUUCUUUUGUGAGAGCAAAAAUGCAUUUCAGUUUUGAGUUUGCUCUGCUCUGAGAGAGAGAGGGCACUUCCUUGUUGUUUGUAUACACUGUCGAGUCAAAUUGCCUAACUUCUGAAUGUCUACAUGACCAUUCUUUGCUUCUGUCAAUGAAAAUCAGUGUUAGCAAUGUUCAGUUUUACCAAUGUGUUCUGAAAAUAAAAAUCCAUCUAGUGAGCACAUUUGCUAGGAGUACAAUGUUACACAUGCCAAUGUUCAAUUUUGAGAGGGAAUACUCCAUUUGGUGAGCACAUUUGCUGGCUUGCAACAAGAGGAUUAGCAGUAGUUCAGAUUCUCAGUAUCUUCUCUGUAGGAGUAGUUUCAGUUAAUUAACUGAAACUUUCUACUCCUCUUCUGCAGGAGCAUCUUCUUCCUCUCUUCUCUCUUCUUAUCUCUUCUGUCUCUCUUCUUAUCUCUCCUCUCUUCUCUUAUCUUAUCCUCUCCUCUUCUCUUAUCUUAAGUCCCUACUGCUUACUCACUCUGUCAUUUUCCAGUAAGUCCCUGCUCAUUUUCUUAGCUUUAUUUUGUACCUGUAGGUUCUAUCUCACAUCUCUGAGCCAAAGUUUCUCACAUGCUUGUUUAUUCAAUAUUUUUCUGACAUACGCGUAAUACAGAUGGCGUGCCCAAAGUGAAGUCUGACCGCACUCUCCUUAAGGCAAGGGAUUUGGGUUUUGGCUAUCCGGAGACUUUGAAAGAUCAGAGAUUCUCUUGAUUGGAGUGGAGAGGAGCAGAGACGAGAGGAGCAGCAGAAGUGGACAGCGCAGCGGCUGACCUCGAGCUCUUGAUUGCAGUGGGGGGAGGCGGCCGGCGAAGGAUCUGUGGCCAGCAGCGAAGGAUCCAAAGCUGUGGCGGAGCAGGCAGCCGGCGGGAAGGGCGGCUGGCGAGGGAGCUGCGGACCGCGGCGGGGAAGGGCGACCGAUGAGGGAGCUGCGGACCACGGCGGGGGGAGCUGCGGACCGCGGCGGGGAAGGGCGACCGAUGAGGGAGCUGCGGACCACGGCAGGGAAGGGCGGCCGGCCGGCAAGGGAGCUGCGGACCACGGCGGGGAAGGGCGGCCGGCCGGCAAGGGAGCUGCGGACAACGGCGGGGAAGGGCGGCCGGCCGGCAAGGGAGCUGCGGACCGCGGCAGGGAAGGAGCCCAGCGAGGGAGCAGCGACGGCGGAGAAGCCUGGCGGAGGGGAGGAGCGACGGAGGAAGACGCCUCCCGGUCAAUUUCAAAUCAGGGGUAGUAUUGUACUUUCACACUGUAGUACUAAAACAAUGGUGUCAAGCUAUUGGGCCACACCAUUAGCCUUAUUGUAACAAUAUUUAAACAGCACCUUCCUGAUCAUAGUAGAUUGCUUCUGCUAAAA